AUUGAACGCUGGCGGCAUGCUUUACACAUGCAAGUCGAACGGUAACAGGUUAAGCUGACGAGUGGCGAACGGGUGAGUAAUGCAUCGGAACGUGCCCGAUCGUGGGGGAUAACGCAGCGAAAGCUGCGCUAAUACCGCAUACGAUCUGAGGAUGAAAGCGGGGGACCGUAAGGCCUCGCGCGAUCGGAGCGGCCGAUGUCAGAUUAGGUAGUUGGUGGGGUAAAGGCCCACCAAGCCGACGAUCUGUAGCUGGUCUGAGAGGACGACCAGACACACGGGGACUGAGACACGUCCCAGACUCCUACGGGAGGCAGCAGUGGGGAAUUUUGGACAAUGGGCGAAAGCCUGAUCCAGCAAUGCCGCGUGCAGGAAGAAGGCCUUCGGGUUGUAAACUGCUUUUGUACGGAGCGAAAAGGUCCUUUCUAAUACAAGGGGCUCAUGACGGUACCGUAAGAAUAAGCACCGGCUAACUACGUGCCAGCCGCCGCAGUAA
rnacentral:rRNA from 1 species